AUGAGACUUAAAGCAAUUUACCUGCUGAAACUGAGAAGACAUUGUCAACGUACGUAGUCUGAGAUAAAGCAAAGCAGAAGAAAAGCUGCAGUAUUUGGCUGUUUUUAGUGAAGAUGGCAGUUUGGAUUCUUUCUUUGACAAAGAUGACCAUGGAUUAACCUAGAACAGAAAUGCACGUUCAGGUGAAAAUGCACCAUCAUCUUGCUUGAAGAAUGUUGCAAGGAAUUCUACCACAAAAACCACAUCCACCCUUCUGACCUGCUCUAAAGAAGAGAGGAACCAAGAGUAUACCUUUCCCUCACAAGUGAGAGUACUAUAUUGGAGGUGGCCAGAAGUGAUACAGAAAGCCAGGGCUGCUUCUGAAUUAAAAAAAAAAAAAAUAUAGUUAGCUUUACAGUCAAUUCUUAAGUAGAGAUUUUUGAUUCAUUAUUUUUCAGUGGAGAACCCCAAUUAAAAAUGGAUGUUUUGUCA